rnacentral:rRNA from 1 species
GAUGAACGCUAGCGGCAGGCUUAAUACAUGCAAGUCGAGAGGCAGCAUGAUUGUAGCAAUACAAUUGAUGGCGACCGGCAAACGGGUGCGGAACACGUACACAACCUUCCAACAAGUGGGGGAUAGCCCAGAGAAAUUUGGAUUAAUACCCCGUAACAUAGCGAUGUGGCAUCACAUUGCUAUUAUAGAUUUUUAGCUUGUUGAUGGGUGUGCGGCUAAUUAGAUAGUUGGCGGGGUAACGGCCCACCAAGUCUACGAUCAGUAGCUGAUGUGAGAGCAUGAUCAGCCACACGGGCACUGAGACACGGGCCCGACUCCUACGGGAGGCAGCAGUAAGGAAUAUUGGACAAUGGACGCAAGUCUGAUCCAGCCAUGCCGCGUGAAGGAUUAAGGUCCUCUGGAUUGUAAACUUCUUUUAUAAGGGACGAAAAAAGGCUUUUCUAAGUCGUCUGACGGUACCUUAUGAAUAAGCACCGGUUAACUCCGUGCCAGCCGCCGCCGUAAUAC